UUGACUAUAGCUCAGUUGAUAGAGCAUGAGACUCUUAAACUCAAGGCUGUGGAUUUAAGCCCCAUGUUGGGCAAA